rnacentral:rRNA from 1 species
CCUACGGGAGGCAGCAGUGGGGAAUAUUGGGCAAUGGAGGCAACUCUGACCCAGCAACGCCGCGUGAAUGAUGAAGGUCUUCGGAUUGUAAAGCUCUGUUAUGGGGGAUGUACACAAUGACGGUACCCCAAUAGCAAGCCACGGCUAACUACGUGCAAGCAGUCGCGGCAAUCCGUAGGCUGCAAGCGUUAGCCGGAUUCAUUGGUUUUAAGGAGUGCGUAGGCGGAAGAUAAAGUCAGCGGUAAAAUUGAGGGGCUCAACCUCUUCGAGCCGUUGAAACUGGUUUUCUUGAGUGAGUUAGAGGUAUGCGGAAUGCGUGGUGUAGCGGUGAAAUGCAUAGAUAUCACGCAGAACUCCGAUUGCGAAGGCAGCAUACCGGCGCUCAACUGACGCUCAUGCACGAAAGUGUGGGUAUCGAACAGGAUUAGAUACCCCUGUAGUC